UACGAAGGGGGCUAGCGUUGCUCGGAAUCACUGGGCGUAAAGGGUGCGUAGGCGGGUUUUUAAGUCAGAGGUGAAAUCCUGGAGCUCAACUCCAGAACUGCCUUUGAUACUGAAAGUCUUGAGUAUGGGAGAGGUGAGUGGAACUGCGAGUGUAGAGGUGAAAAUUCGUAGAUAUUCGCAAGAACACCAGUGGCGAAGGCGGCUCACUGGCCCAUUACUGACGCUGAGGCACGAAAGCGUGGGGAGCAAACAGG
rnacentral:rRNA from 1 species